rnacentral:misc_RNA from 1 species
AAGCACAAGGGGGAGCCUAGGCUCCCCCUUCAAGUCGGUCGUGCUUUGUUCUUUUUAUGGCUACAGGCUUGUUGUUUUUGUUGAUGGCCUGUCCGGACCUCGCGGUCCGCUGGCAGUCCCAAGUCGGGACCCAAGAACAAACGGAUUACUUUGGACGCUGAUGUUGCCACUCCCCUCGCGGGGUCAACCGGUUGCGGACGCUGCCUCGGGGCAGUU